rnacentral:rRNA from 1 species
AUUGAACGCUGGCGGCGUGCUUAACACAUGCAAGUCGAGCGGUAACAGGCGUAGCAAUACGUGCUGACGAGCGGCGAACGGGUGCGUAAUACAUCGGAAUCUGCCUCGUAGUGGGGAAUAACCCGGCGAAAGCCGGGCUAAUGCCGCAUACGAUCCACGGAUGAAAGCGGGGGACCGUAAGGCCUCGCGCUAUGAGAUGAGCCGAUGUCGGAUUAGCAGUUGGUGAGGUAACGGCUCACCAAGGCGACGAUCCGUAGCUGGUCUGAGAGGACGGCCAGCCACACUGGGACUGAGACACGGCCCAGA